rnacentral:rRNA from 1 species
CAAGUCGAGGGGCAUCAGGAAGAAAGCUUGCUUUCUUUACUGGCGACCGGCGCACGGGUGAGUAACACGUAUCCAACCUGCCCUUUACUCGGGGAUAGCCUUUCGAAAGAAAGAUUAAUACUCGAUAGCAUAAUGAUUCCGCAUGGUUUCAUUAUUAAAGGAUUCCGGUAAAGGAUGGGGAUGCGUCUGAUUAGCUUGUUGGCGGGGUAACGGCUCACCAAGCCUUCGAUGGAUAGGGGUUCUGAGAGGAAGGUCCCCACAUUGGAACUGAGACACGGUCCAAACUCC